UACGAAGGGGGCUAGCGUUGCUCGGAAUCACUGGGCGUAAAGCGCACGUAGGCGGCUUUUUAAGUCAGGGGUGAAAUCCUGGAGCUCAACUCCAGAACUGCCUUUGAUACUGGGAAGCUCGAGUCCGGGAGAGGUGAGUGGAACUCCGAGUGUAGAGGUGAAAUUCGUAGAUAUUCGGAAGAACACCAGUGGCGAAGGCGGCCACCUGGGAGGCGACUGACGCUGAGACGCGAAAGCGUGGGGAGCAAACAGG
rnacentral:rRNA from 1 species